UAAAACUUGCAGCAGUAGAUGUUUCAGCCGUGCCUAAUUUAUUGUCCCCACCAUGUGCAAAAUCGGACUUGAAUUAUGCAACCUAAUACAGAAUACAUUGUACAAAUGUUCAUUUUGCAUAAUUUAUACUUUGACUGUAGAAACUAGUUUUUCUUGGUACAAUGGUUGGCAUCCCAUUGCAUGUUACAAAAUUUGUUUUAUUUAUUUUAGCACAAAGUGCGGACAGGAAUCUAUCUAUGUAUAAUGUUUAUAAGCAACCAUUAAGAGGGGAAUAAACUUUCACUUUGUAGUAAAAAUGUAAGCAUGAAGACAGAUUCCCGGUAUUUAAAGUACGGAUUUACUUAGGCUAUUCCAAUCCCAAACAUACUAACUAGAGUGUAUGCAUCAUUUGGCACAGUGAGACCUACUUCUGAGUAAAUAUGCAUGGGAUUUGUCCUGUAAGGAAUUACUGUCUACAGAUAUUUAAUGCAUCACGGAACCAGAACAGAAGGAGGAGCAAUUCUGACCUGACUGUCUACUUAUCACAGGCCAGACAUCAGGACAGCUGACAUGUGAAUGAGAAGGUGGUGGUUUACAUUAAUUUCCAGGAGGUCUCCUGUCCAUGCAUGGGCCAGAUCCAUAAUGGCAAAGUGGUGGCUUUAUGGGACUUCAGACCACACCAUAGCCCCCCUGCUUUUGUCAUGGGUAAGUACAGUCCCAGCAAAGGGAAUCCAAGCCUUGUAGCACUGUUUUCUUUUCUUUUUAAUAUGGGCCCAAGAUACAUUCUGUGUUUCUCAUUUUUGUGACAUAUAAAUAUUACCAGUUUUAUUUUUCUAGAAAAAGAGGUGCCAGAACUCACCGUGAACACCUCCCUUGUUCUUUUAUAAUGGCAAUGGA